UUCACAACAUCACUUGCAUAUUUUGUGCAAAAGGAGGUGUUUGUUUACUCCAGUCUUUUCAAAUCCAUUUCUCUGAACUUGAGAUCUCUUUGCUAACUCACACAGCUCUAACAGCCCUUGACAAUAAUCUGUAUCUCAUCUCUCCAGACUGGCACCAUCUCAAGAGGAAAACACUGAUGUCAAGAAAGCCAGGUUGACCAUUGCAGGUACAUUGGGAUGCUGAAAACCUCACCACUGCUCCUGACGUGGUACAGUGUAAUUAAUCUGUUUUGGUUUGGGGGUUUUGUUUCUUUUGCUGUUUUUUCACCUCUGCUCAUUUUCCUUGUUCUCCCACCCCUGCCUAACAAAGCUUCACUGAAAUAGAAAGCAGGCUUGUAAUAACUGCCUGUUAUGUUUUUGUUUAAUGUACUGUGCAAAACAUGACAAGGGUGAAUGUUAGUAGAUGUAACAGCAGUCAAAAUGUUUCCUUAUUCCAGCUGUUGUAUCCUCUGUGUGCAAUAGAUAGAAAAGAUGUUAAACAAACUGGGAGAGUAAGUUGUAAAUCUUAAGGUCAGAAAAUGCAACUCAAUUUUUUUUUCUUUCCCUGAAUAGGAAAAAUGUGAUGAAAUAGCGUAGCAUCUAUGCCUAAUAUUUUAUUUUUAGUCAUUGCUGUCUUAACUUUCCUGAGUAUGUAUAAUAUACAUAAUUUUUUUCAAUACAUACUGCAGAGAUUUCUUUGUGCCAUAUUGAAAUUGAUCAUGAUUGCUGACCCUUGCAGUUAUGAUGCUGUUUAACUACAAAACCUUUGCGUUAAUUUAAUUCACUUAAAAUCAUUUUUAGCAUCCUACUAACAAAGUAUAUUAAUAAACCAGUUCAGUCCGACACACAUUUUGCAAAUUGCAGUCUCUGUGAAAACAUUAUUUAAUGUGUUUAAUUGCUAUACAUUUACUUUAAAAGGUAAUCUGUCACAACACCACAUGUAUUUCUUAUAUUUUCUGAAAGAAUAUGCUGUAUUUCAAACCUCCAUACACAAGACAUGAAACAGUUGCUGUCACCCAUACUCUUUCUGUUUCUGGCUUUGAUUCUUAUACUUGAGAGGUAUCUGCAUGCCAAUUUUUAUUGCAUUCUAAUCCAAAUAGAUUCCAUCCUGGAUGCCUUCAUUACCCUGGGCUAUCUUUGGUAUUCCAAGAAAAGAUGUAGCAUGAUGUAUAUUCAUUCUUUCAGUUCUAUAACUUUAUUUGUUUAUUUGUAAAUCAAUCUAUUUCAAGCCUCAAAUUGAGGCUUGCAAUGUCAGAUUGAAUCAAGAAUCAAGCAAUUCUUGGUUUCUGUUUUGACAGAAAUUCCAGGUUUUUCUGCAGACCUUUGCAUAAGAUUUACUUUGUAGAAAAGGUUUCUCUGUAAGUGAGAAACAGACAACUGCAUUAGCAAAAGAUGCCAAGUAGGCUGACUUAAAAGUCAGUCUUAAAUGUAAAUUUAAUUUAAAGGCAGCAGCACUCUUGUUAUAUUUAAAUGAGACUCAGAGAACCUGCUUCAGGAAGUAUCAGAGCUCAGGGCACUACAAUUAUCAUUAUCACAUCCAUCUGGAGUAAUGGAUAGAUAUGCUUAUUUUGUAAAUGAACAUAUGUGUGUAAUUGCAUAAUUGUUUUAACAAUAAAUGUCCUGCAGGA